rnacentral:rRNA from 1 species
GCAACCUGGCCCGCCAAGGUUCGCCUUUGUGUGUGUGCCGGGUUGUGUCUACCAUCCUUCUAAGUUACCUUUGGCAAUUCUUUGAUUGGAGUUGUUUCCAUUGUGUUUUGACUUAGAUCGUUGACUUUGAACAAAUUAGAGUGUUUAAAGCAGGCUUUUGCUAUGAAUACAUUAGCAUGGAAUAAUAAUCUAGGACUUCGGUUCUAUUUUGUUGGUUUCUAUAACUGAAGUAAUGAUUGAUAGGGAUAGUUGGGGGUGCUAGUAUUGGCCGGCCAGAGGUGAAAUUCUUGGAUUCGGUCAAGACUAACUUAUGCGAAAGCAUU